CGUGGGUGGGGAACCGAAUUGACGACGUGUGCUGAAAAUGAUGCUGGAAUCACUUGAUUAUCUGCAUUCAUCAGCUCUACAUCGUGUUUCAUCCAAGGCAUGGAUGACAAUGUAGAGAUGCCGUAUCCUUUGGCGUGCUUUGUCUCGUUGGUGACUACUACAUGAAGAUUGUCUGGAACAAUGAGGCCACACUGUAUGAUGAAAGUUGCUGUUCUCUCGUGUGAGGUUGCAUUGAACGACCUGGGGAUUGCUGCUUGGGAUGUUGGCACGGAGGCUUAGCUGAGAUCUCUUUGGCUGUUCGUCCAUUUUAGUUGGAUCCAUAUCGAACAUUGCGUGAAUGGCGUCAUGUUAUUUAGGAUGGGAUGCUUUCUUGUGCCCUCGAAUUGUGUUCUACAUUCGCGUGUUGUUGUGGCUGACUUGAAUUUGCUGUGGCGGUUUCAUGUCGGCUUCACGUUGUCAAUCUGAUUAUCACGUCGUAGGGUUGCAUCGAGGGGGAUGUAUGGCUUCACAUCUCAGAUCCUUAUUUGGUGUAUUAAUACUGCAUCAUGUCGUGAAAUGGCGCUGACUCCGUUGUGUUGGGCUGUUGAUGGUUAGCAGCUCUUCCUGGAACAAUUCGUUUCUGGGUCUUUGUUUUGUGGCUGCAAUUUCCGGUCGGCGUGUGGCAUUCUUCAGAACAUCGACAACACUGACCUUGGAGUACUGACAUCUGUCACCGUCUUCUGGAGAACUUCCUGCAGAAAGCAAUUACCUGGUCAUAACUGCGCAUAUUCGAAUCUCGUUCGCUUUAAUAAUUAUAUUAUUUACAAUUAUUUAAUAAUUAUAUGUAUUUAAUUUUUCAAUACAAAACUUAAGUGAA